GGAGAAGAAAGCCUAUUGCUAAAAGAUAUCCAAAGAGAUACACAUUCUUAUUUAAAGAGGCUUAGGUAAUUCAAUUUGCCUCUUUUAAAGCAACCAGUGACUGCUAUGGUAGGUAGAAUGGCUUCCCGGAGGUGUCCAAGCCUUCAUUCUCGGAACAUGUGAGUAUGCUACAUUAAAUGACACCUAGGACUUUGCUGGAAUCGUGAAGGGUAGAGACUGUCAGCAGUGAGAGGAAUCUGGACCACCCAGGUGGUCCCACCCUACUGAUAUAAGAAUUUCAAAGUGGAAACUGGUUUACCCCUGGAGUUACAGAUGCCUGGAAGAAGUCAGGGAGGUUUAAAGCAUGAUUAGGGCUGGACCUUCUACUGCUGUCACAUGGAAAGCGUGAGACAAGCCGUAUGGGGCACCGAGAAGUAAGGAUAAGCCCUGGCUGAGAGCACUGAAGAAAUAGGAAUUUAACUUUUACAACCAUGAAUUCAGCCAGAAAUUUGACUAAGCAUAGAAAGGAAGUCACUUCUUGAGCCUUCUUAUAACAUCCUAGCUCAGAAAAUGCCUUGACUUUGGCCUUGUGAGACAGAGAACCCAACAGGGCCCAUCUGGACUCCUGAUCUAUAGUUAUGGUAUAAAAAGUCUAUGCUGUUUAAGCUAAUGUAAUAUGUUGUGGUGCCAAUGGAAAAGUAACAGAACUUCCCAAAUAGAAAUGUGAAUUGUGUUUGAUGAUGCUAAGAAGGCCCAUCUUGAUCUAGUUGCAAUUUUCUUCUAGAGCUGUAUUCCCUGAAGAGUCAAGCUUCUCCCAACAUCACCAUCCUUAACUCCCAUUCUCUAGCCUAGGAUUUUUCAAUGGGGGAAAUUUUAGGAAUUUGUGUCAGAACAAUUCCUCACUAAACAGGAGUUGUCCCCUUACAGGCAAGACCUGACAGUCUUGACUCUUGGGCUCCUAAUGCUGGUGACACUUCCCAGUCAUGGCAUUUGUUCAAUUUGCACACCAAGGCGCCAGAUGCUUCUGCAUUCCAGAGCCACCCAAAGGAUCAGCCUCACCCAAAGGACAGUUUCGUGCAGUGCCCACAUGUCCUGGAGAGUCAUCCCCACCUCUGGCUCUGCAAUGCCCUGGAAUCCAAUCCCACCAGAAAUCGGAUGCGAAAGGGCUUGUUUUCCCUGCUGGCUUGGCUUCUAUGGCUAACUCCCUCCUACCUACCUGGAAGAAUGUGUGACACUGAGUGGGGAUUCAAUUCAUGAUUAAGUAAAUCAGUCAACUUUACAAUGGAUAAAGCUCUGGUCACUCAAUUUCCUCCACAUAGAAGGCGUCAGGACUUACCAGAGCUUUGCCCUGUUCCAUCAUCUCCUCACUCCGGAUUUUAGCUGCUUCCCACAGAAUAGGCAGAGAUAGAAUCUUCUUACUUCUCCCAAAUUUCAAUUUAAAAAUGACAGUUCUCCCACCAAGGAAUAUAUUUUCAUGCCAU
rnacentral:lncRNA from 1 species